GCCCCCGUGGCCCAACGGCAGAGGCAGGCGCCUUAAAAGCGCUCACGGUGCGGGUUCGACUCCCGUCGGGGGUA
rnacentral:tRNA from 1 species